rnacentral:siRNA from 1 species
UAGAGUAUUGGUGAAUUCCACA